UACGGAGGGGGCUAGCGUUGUUCGGAAUUACUGGGCGUAAAGCGUGCGCAGGCGGUUUUGUAAGCCAGAUGUGAAAUCCCCGGGCUCAACCUGGGAAUGGCAUUUGGGACUGCAAGGCUGGAGUACGGCAGAGGAGACUGGAAUUCCUGGUGUAGCAGUGAAAUGCGUAGAUAUCAGGAGGAAUACCGAUGGCGAAGGCAGGUCUCUGGGCUGAUACUGACGCUCAUGCACGAAAGCGUGGGGAGCAAACAGG
rnacentral:rRNA from 1 species